rnacentral:lncRNA from 1 species
GAGAGAGAGCGUCUAGAAGGUUUCCUUUUUAGGGUGUAGAUCAGCUGGUUCCGCGAAACACCAGACGUCCCAUCUGUGGUGAAUAUCUUUGCACGUGCGAAAGUUUCUAAACGUUUCAUGCUAUGAUUUGAUUCAUAGCUUGUUCGGUGCUUUCGUUGAUGCAACUGAUCUUCGUCUCUUGCCGCGUGGGCUUUCGCCUUUUUUUUACUAAUUGAGGU